ensembl:lncRNA transmembrane protein 88-like
UUUGACGUGGGUGACGGGAUCCGGAUGCUGCCGCCUCCUCCGGCUCAGUGUGACGGCGGGGUCUGGGGGGCCCGGCGGGGCCACUGCGGGUGUGUGCUGUGGACGCUGCUGCUGCUGCUGUGGAAUGUCCUGCUGCUGCUGGGGUGUGUGGGGCUGAUGGUCCUGAUCUUCAGUCUCAUUCUGCUGCCUGCCGCCCUGCUGCUGUACGCCGGCUUCCUGUGCCAUUCACGGGUUGUGGCUUCUCAGGCUGCUCUCUGCCAUUACCUUGACGACAACAGUUGCUCUGCCCUCAUCAUCCUGGGCUUUGUCAUGAUGUCUCCGCUGGUUGUGGUUGCUGCUGCCACGUUCUGCGCUCUUCUCAGGCGGCUCCACCUUCUCUUAUAUUUUCAGCCAAUCGCAGAAGCUCGGUACCAAGGGCGGGGCUUGGGCUGGAGGCGGGACAUCCAUGCCUGGGUUUGACUGACAGACGCACCCACCAUUCUUAGGUCAGCGUCCGAGGUGACCUUUAGCAGCAUAGUGUAAAGGUCAAAGGGUGAAUGAUGUCACAGGACAGCGACGGCGUUACCGUAACUCUAUAGAAACAUAAUCAUGUAAAGUGUGUAACACAAUGUAUAUAAUAUAUCCCUGAAUGACCAAAAUAUAACUCUGGAAAUGUUUUUAAGAGAAUCCUGUUUCAGCCAAUUCAAUCUUUUCACAUGAUUGAGAAAUUGAUGCAAAAUUCAAGAGUAAGUGUUACUGUUACCAUAUUAUAUUAUAUGACUACUUUAUUUCCGCACAUGCUAGAUUCGUUAAGUCUGUUUGCGCGCAAUAUAUGACGAUGCUCUGUGCGACGCGAUCACACAAAUGCACAUCAUCACAAUGAAAAAUAUUUCUUUGUUCUGAAGAAAACCAAGGUGUUACAGACUUCUAUGUAACGCGAUUUGAGUGUUACCAAACUGACGUUUCGUGGUUUAUGAAUAAGUGUAGUAGUUUAGAGAUGAGCUUUCUCGCUCAUGUCGAUGUUUAUAUUGGUUGGUCAGCUGUGUGAUUCAAAUGUGCAGAAAUGUUAAUAAACCAAC